rnacentral:rRNA from 1 species
UACGGGGGGGGCAAGCGUUGUUCGGAAUUACUGGGCGUAAAGGGCUCGUAGGCGGCCAACUAAGUCAGACGUGAAAUCCCUCGGCUUAACCGGGGAACUGCGUCUGAUACUGGAUGGCUUGAGGUUGGGAGAGGGAUGCGGAAUUCCAGGUGUAGCGGUGAAAUGCGUAGAUAUCUGGAGGAACACCGGUGGCGAAGGCGGCAUCCUGGACCGACACUGACACUGAGGAGCGAAAGCCAGGGGAGCAAACGGG